UAAUUUCAAGUAUUUAUUCUACCUUCUUAUAUUAUUUUUGAUUUUUUUUAUAUAUACUUUUUGAAACAGCUACCUAACAUAUUAUUCUAACAUAAUCUAUUAACUAGUUAACUCGAGUGGUAAGAAACAUAAAAAGAAACCCAUUUGUUACAAAAUUGACGAAUGAAGGAACAACAGACGCAAACUGAUUUGUAGAGAGCAAUAAAGGCAUUUGUUAAGCAAAAUGUUAA
rnacentral:lncRNA from 1 species